rnacentral:misc_RNA from 1 species
UUUCCGUAGGUGAACCUGCGGAAGGAUCAUUCAUAAUAAGUGUUUUACUGCACUUUUUAAAAAUAGUCCUCACCCUGUGUGCCAUCUUGGGUUUCUUUUCGGAGAAACACCUACACCAACCUAUAACCUUGAAUCACUUUGUCUGAAAAACUAUUAUGAAUACUUAAUUCAAAAUACAACUUUCAACAACGGAUCUCUUGGCUCUC